rnacentral:rRNA from 1 species
AAUAGAUACCCGGGUAGUCCUAGCCGUAAACGAUGAACACUAGGCGUAGUCGGUAUUGACCCCGGCUGUGCCGUAGCUAACGCAUUAAGUGUUCCGCCUGGGGAGUACGGCCGCAAGGCUAAAACUCAAAGGGAAUUGACGGGGGCCCGCACAAGCAGCGGAGCGUGUGGUUUAAUUCGUCGCAACGCGAAGAACCUUACCAGGGCUUGACAUGUGGCGGAAAACGGCGGAAACGUCGUCCUCCCGCAAGGGACCGUCAUGCAGGUGUUGCAUGGCUGUCGUCAGCUCGUGUCGUGAGAUGUUGGGUUAAGUCCCGCAACGAGCGCAACCCCCGUGGCAUGUUGUAUCUCUCAUGCCAGACUGCCGAGAGAAACUCGGAGGAAGGUGGGGAUGACGCCAAGUCAGCAUGGCCCUUACGCCCUGGGCUACACACACGCUACAAUGGCCGGUACAACGGGUUGCCAAACCGCGAGGUGGAGCUAAUCCCUCAAAGCCGGUCUCAGUUCGGAUUGCAGGCUGCAACUCGCCUGCAUGAAC